rnacentral:lncRNA from 1 species
UGGAGACCAAGUACAAGGAAACAUUGAUGAACAAGUAAAUCUAUUACUUUCUAUAUAUUGGACAUCACAUAAUAUUCAUAACAUUCACGUUAAUUUAGCCAAAUGUGUUGCUUUUCUUCCACUAGAGAGCCAAAUUUUAACCAAAUAAUCAAUUUUCUUAAACUUUACUUGGUACAUUUUUUUCUCUUUUUAUAACUUUUCUCUAAAGAAAGAAAUCUUUCGUUUUCUUCACGCUUAGUCCCUCUGGUUUCCGGCAUUCUUGCCGGUGUCGUGAGGGACACAUCCUUCUAUUUUUGGAUGGUGUUUCAUCUUUGAUUUAGUGGAUAUUUUCUGGUUUUGAUGUGGCGGUGUUGGGUUUUUUUUUGGAAUUCCGGUUUCGUUUGGUGGUCGUUCUUGGUACGGAGGUCAUGCAUGUCUGGAUCUGGGGAGGACAAUACCCGGUUGUGUGUUUCCACUUGGCUGUGUGGUACCUAUCCAUCUCUAUGAGCCCUUAAGCUUUCGAGAUUUUAAUCGACGGUGGAAGGGAAAGUGGUGAAUCGUUAUUGUGAACUGGUUUUGGUAGAGAUUGAACUGCUGGGACCAAUGAGUAAGGUCGCCAUUAGAGGACGGUGGCCUUAAAAGGGUCUACGGCAGUGGCUGACUACGACAACGGGAGGAGACGGACGGACCGGCUCCAACAUCUCCUUUUUCCCUCUCGAUGAGUCUUCUUGUCCAUAGUGCUUUACCUCCAUUUUUUCUUGGUUCCGCUCAGGUUGUGUUUUCGAUGGAGCUUGUACAAAUCCUUCUUGUGCUUUGUCUUCUCCUCGCUUUCGUGGUAGCCUUGGCGGUUCUCGCUUCCGGUGAGUGUGUGCUUGCGGCAGAAGCUCUGGUCAAUCGGAGCUAGAUUUUCUGGAAAUCUUCGUAGUUGGAUUAUUUUGUGGAUUUAGUCCAUUUUGAGAUUUUUUAGAUCCAAGUCCAUUAGAUUUUUUUUUGGAGUUUUGUACUUUUUUUUCUUUAUGCAUUUACUUAUGUAACGAAAAUCCCA